rnacentral:rRNA from 1 species
AACGAACGCUGGCGGCAUGCCUAACACAUGCAAGUCGAACGAGACCUUCGGGUCUAGUGGCGCACGGGUGCGUAACGCGUGGGAACCUGCCCUUAGGUUCGGAAUAACUCCCCGAAAGGGGUGCUAAUACCGGAUAAUGUCUUCGGACCAAAGAUUUAUCGCCUUUGGGUGGGCCCGCGUUGGAUUAGCUAGUUGGUAGGGUAAAAGCCUACCAAGGCGACGAUCCAUAGCUGGUCUGAGAGGAUGAUCAGCCACGCUGGGACUGAGACACGGCCCAGACUCCUACGGGAGGCAGCAGUAGGGAAUAUUGGACAAGGGGCGAAAGCCUGAUCCAGCAAUGCCGCGGGAGUGAUGAAGGCCUUAGGGUUGUAAAGCUCUUUUACCCGGGAUGAUAAUGACAGUACCGGGAGAAUAAGCUCCGGCUAACUCCGUG